GAAAAAGAGGAACAACUUCUAAGCCAAGGCAGAUUUACAACAUAACCAAAAGAACAGAAGAAGGAGCUAGGCACACCGGUCCAGAGAAAGGUGGUGUCCGACUUCGAAAGUUCCAAAGAUUGGCCAACGAUUUGUGAUGUUUUAAAGAAUAAUUAGUCUUAUGCUAUCCUCUGGGAAUAUAAAGAUGAAAAGAGUUUCUCACGGCCCACCAUUCAACCAGCAGGUUUCUGGAUGGCAAAUCAUGCGACCUUCCUUUUUUUGAGUUUUCUAUUCUGCUGUGAUCUCCUACUAAUUUGUGCUUCAUUUUGUGACUCAUUGAUAGAAAAACAAGUAGAGUGGGAUAAAAUCCCCCCUGCUACAGUGCAAUUAUAUAUUAAUGGCUGUAAUGUGAACAUCAUCACAUACAAAGAGAGCCAUUUUCCAAAAUUAAGUUUAUUCAAUCUCUCCUUUAAUUGCAUUGGGACUUUUCCAGAUAGUGUUCUUUCAGAUCUGAAAAAGAAAUGCCUAAAAGACCUUCCAAACUCAUUUCUGAGCAAUA